UACGUAGGUGGCAAGCGUUGUCCGGAAUUAUUGGGCGUAAAGCGCGCGCAGGCGGCCUUUUAAGUCUGAUGUGAAAGCCCCCGGCUCAACCGGGGAAGGUCAUUGGAAACUGAGAGGCUUGAGUACAGAAGAGGAAAGCGGAAUUCCACGUGUAGCGGUGAAAUGCGUAGAGAUGUGGAGGAACACCAGUGGCGAAGGCGGCUUUCUGGUCUGUAACUGACGCUGAGGCGCGAAAGCGUGGGGAGCAAACAG
rnacentral:rRNA from 1 species